UACGGGGGGGGCAAGCGUUGUUCGGAAUUACUGGGCGUAAAGCGCGCGUAGGCGGCUUUGUAAGUUAGAGGUGAAAGCCCGGAGCUCAACUCCGGAACUGCCUUUAAGACUGCAUCGCUUGAAUCCAGGAGAGGUGAGUGGAAUUCCGAGUGUAGAGGUGAAAUUCGUAGAUAUUCGGAAGAACACCAGUGGCGAAGGCGGCUCACUGGACUGGUAUUGACGCUGAGGUGCGAAAGCGUGGGGAGCAAACAGG
rnacentral:rRNA from 1 species